UGCUAAUCUGCGAUAAGCGCCGGUAAGGUGAUAUGAACCGUUAUAACCGGCGAUACCCGAAUGGGGAAACCCAGUGUGAUUCGUCACACUAUCAUUAACUGAAUCCAUAGGUUAAUGAGGCGAACCGGGGGAACUGAAACAUCUAAGUACCCCGAGGAAAAGAAAUCAACCGAGAUUCCCCCAGUAGCGGCGAGCGAACGGGGAGGAGCCCAGAGCCUGAAUCAGCAUGUGUGUUAGUGGAAGCGUCUGGAAAGGCGCGCGAUACAGGGUGACAGCCCCGUACACAAAAGCGCAUGUGCUGUGAGCUCGAUGAGUAGGGCGGGACACGUGGUAUCCUGUCUGAAUAUGGGGGGACCAUCCUCCAAGGCUAAAUACUCCUGACUGACCGAUAGUGAACCAGUACCGUGAGGGAAAGGCGAAAAGAACCCCGGCGAGGGGAGUGAAAAAGAACCUGAAACCGUGUACGUACAAGCAGUGGGAGCACAGGUUUACCUGUGUGACUGCGUACCUUUUGUAUAAUGGGUCAGCGACUUAUAUUCUGUAGCAAGGUUAACCGUAUAGGGGAGCCGUAGGGAAACCGAGUCUUAAC
rnacentral:rRNA from 1 species